rnacentral:lncRNA from 10 species
AAAGGACAGAGAUGGAGGAAGACGACAGAGACACCGGAAGAAAAGGAAUACAGCCAGCGACAGAAACACAGAAGGGGAAAUCAGGAGGAAGGAAAUGUACAAGGAGGUGUGCUGGGGCUCUUCCAUCACCUGGCUUCAUCCAGAUAGAGCUGGGCACCAGCAAGAACCAAAACAGAAAAAUCAGGAGACUCAAGGGCCAGAGUUUGUGAGUUGUGAGUUGUACAUAUAUGAUCAACACCACAUAAGUUGUUUAAAAUAAGCUUUCUGCUCUCUGAAUUAUAUAAUUGGGUAUUUAAAAGAAGAAAACAAAUACAAAAAAACAAUUUACCCCCAUGCAGAGUCCAUCUAAAUCAUACAUAGCAGCCAUUGAGCUCCCAUACUGCCACUGCAAUGCUCUGGACAGGAGUCAUCCUAGGAACCAUCCCUCCCACCCCAGAAGGGAGAAUGGAUCAUCUGCAGCCUCCUCUGGAGCUUGGCUCAAUUGCCACUAGACACCCAGGAUGACAGAGAGUCAAGAUUCAGACUGCUGUACACCUUCUUUGGGAAUGCCAGCCCCCCAGGUCUGGCACAGAAACCACAAAAUUCCCUAAGUCCUGGUGUAUACAAGCUGUAAAGGCAGUAGGUCCCUGACACUUCAUUGGAAGUGAGUUUAUGAUUUUGGUGGAGACAAUAGGUCUCUAUCCAUAGAAUGCAACCACCAAGACACCAAGGCCACUGGAAAUGCACCAGAAGUAUAUCAGCCAGGUCCUCUUGCUCCCAGCAGCAGCGAAAUGUGCCAGAAAUAUACCAACCCCUGGGAAACAUACAAGCUUCAAGGUAUUGGUUCCCUACCUCACUGCUCUCCGUCCUGACACACCGGUGUGAGCCCAGUGAUCCAUGCUUAAGCCCCAGCUUCUAACCGAGUGACAGUGUGCACUGCAGUUGCAGACUGAGCUCAAGCUCUGUUAUGACACAUUUUUACCCUCCAAUUAAUUCUUAGGCUCCUGCUCUAGCGGUGGAUUCCUGAGAGGCAAUGGGAGUACAUAUUCCAGAUGAAUUGACCCUGGCCACAAAUGUCCUCUCCAGACACCUAUAAAUAUCCCAUCGCCAAGGUUCCUUGUAAGAAAUAUAUGAUUGGAUCCCAGGAUCUGUGGAGGACCUCUCCCGGCUCCUCCCCACAUUUUAGGAAAAUCCUGCCGGUUUAGGAUUACCAGCCAGAGGUCCAUGCCCCAAAGAAGCCACUCACAAACACUGAUGGUUGUUGGCGACUAAGCUGCAUCACUUGAUUUGGAUUACAGAAAGGAACGCCCGAGAGAUUUUGUUUGUUUUUAUUUGGGGAGAAUGAAGGAGGAGGGAGAUUUUAGACUGAAUCGUUCUAGAGUAUUUGACGACUACAGCUCCUCUCUCUUUGUACUACGGAGACCCUGCUUAUAGCCCCCAACAGGAAAUCCUCAUCUGCAGUUGCCAGACAGCCAGAAUAUUUCCACCUGUGCCAGAACAAGACAGAAGACCCCAGGAGAUUCUUCCUGGGGACAGGUCUCAAGCAGACCCAAUCCCCCAUACAGAGAAUUUCUUAGAUGAAAACAGCCUCAGGCCCUUAGACCCAGCCUCUGGUCUCUCUUCUGGGCCCACACCAGCACAACACCCUGGAGAAGCCCCAAGCCUGCACAAGUACCAAACCCACCAGGGAACAGCACCACCAUCCUCGCCUCUACCGGAGAAGAGGGGUGUUCCUGCCUCCCCACCCUAGGCCUCAGGCCUGGGAUCAGGGCCCACUCGAGCUGGGACUGCACUAGCCAGGAAGGCUGCCGCCUUCCUCCUGCGGGAGCUCCAGGCACAGUCUGUACCACCCGGAUACAGCCGCCCCAAAGUUACCGGCCUUGGGAAACGUCCACAGAACCGGGACCAAUGGGAAAGGCCUGGACGACUAAGUCCAACUAGCUGGUUUUACCCUGGGUGGAAAAGGGAAAAAGCCGCUGAAUGCCACAGAGGCAGCUACAGCAGUCAGAUCCCGAUUCCAAGCUCUGGCUGGUCCUCCCCUCCCCCCACCCCCAAUCUGAGAAUGGGCUCUCCUCUGUCCUGAGCCUUCCUCACCCCAGGCCGGAACACAAGGCCUUCCUAGACACCGUUUCCACCGGCACCAUUCCCCUGAAAACUCACCUGGGGCAUAUUUAGAGAGACCGGCCCCUCUGAAUAGGAUCUCCACUCCGCCGGAAAGGGGCGGAAGCCGAGGAAGAGGAUGCACACCCGGGUCUUUGCUUUCCCCCUUUUUCGCUGAGAGGCCUGCAGUUACGCUGCGGUGUGGUCCUGGGCGAUCUGCCGCGCCCAAAGCGAGUUUCCAGGAAAGAUAGGGGUGGAGAGAAAGAGGCAGGGCAAGAGGGAGGGAGAGAGAGAAAUGGGGGUCAAUGGCUGGGAAUUACCUCCUGUCCCCGACCAACCAGUCCAGGGAAUCGCAAACAGCUUUCCGCCCCCAACCUGCAGGUGUUUGGAGCCUUUCCUCUACCCCCUCCUCCCCCCACCCGCCUUAAAAAACCCUAUACAUGACCAAUCAGGAAUAGCUAUUUAGUCCAACAGCAACAACAACCCCUCCCGACAGGCUGUCUGGAACAUUUUCGAACCCUCCAACUGGGAUCGGUCUGGUUCAGUGUUUGUUUUCUAAGCAGGGAGGUGUCUACGCGGUUGCCUCCUCAGCCAGGUCUCCGGCUGCCGCUACACCGCGAAGGGAUAGUCCCGGGCCUGGAUGGGCGGAGGUCCGUGUUGGGAAAGGCGAAUAGUCUUCAGACUCUGGUCGGUGGGACAGAACCUUGAAGUCCCCCCCACCUCAUUCUCUCUCUGACCCCCAUCCACCCACCUCCAGCCCAAAGCGAAACCAGAACCCAAUUCCAGGGGCUGUACUUUCCUACAGAAAUGGAGUUGGGAAGGGGGCUUGGAGAGAGAUAUCUGAUCUGUUCAGGUCCUUUCUCGUCUCCCUACUGAUUAAGAGAAAGAAGAAAGAGAGAGGAAGAGAGAGACAGAAAAAGAAAAGGAAAUAAAGACCAACAAAGGGGGAAAGAAAGAAACAAAGGGGAAAAGUCCCCCACCUUCCCCUCCACCACCCCUACGAAAUGAUUUUCGAUUUUUCGGGGUUUAGACAGAGUAAGGGAGAAUUCUAAUGAUUUGUUACAGCAAUAAACAAGGUAAAAGGAAAGGAGGUAAAAACAAACCCGACACUACUUUCAAGGAUGUAGCAGGAUUGAGCUUGCUUUUAUUUUUUCCUAGUGGAUUUUGUUUAAUUUGUUUUGCCUAAAUCGUCAGGCUUAUGAUCACACAUCGAAGUCUUGGAUUAACUGCGAAGGCCUCCUUCUAUUUGCCGCGGCUUUGGUGGACAUAUAGGAAUAAUUCUUCCCUGGAUUGCAAUACAAUGCGGAAGAUUUUCUUUCUCCUCUUCUAAUCCAAAAGAGGGGAGGGGAGGAAAGAAGAGGGGAAUCCAUCCAUUCCCGGCGUGUUCGCGGGGGGUUAAUGUUGCGUGUUCGCUGGGGGUUAAUGUUUGCCUUAUGACCAAGUCUCUGUGUCCGUGCCUCUCUCCAUUUUCUCUUCCUACCUCAAACCCAGCAACUUAGAAAACGGCUGUAGCGGAAAAAAACCCGCUGCUUUGUUCUCCCGCCAAAGGAGCCAAAAGGGACAAACUGCUGCGCUCUGGGAUGAUUAUUUUAAUUAAAAUAGAUGUUAAUGAUGACGAUUGUGAUGGUGAUGGCAUUAGCAAUUACAAUAAUUGACAAAACAAAAUUCUUUCAACCCGAGCUAGGGCCCCACUAACCCGGUCCCUCCCAGAGCCCGGAUUCGGCCUCGGUCUCGGAUGCGACGGGUAUCAGACCCAAGCGGCAACGUCGCUCACCCGAAGAGGGGGCGGGAAAAUCUUCCCAGGAGGUGAUCCCGAAUGUCCCCACCCGAGGCUCGAGGCCUGGUGAAUGUGCCCAUUGUCCUUUCGGGGCCUCUCCCUUGGAGCCCGGCGGCCGCACCCACGAAACUGACCAGAAAUGGAUGAAGCCGGAGUGCAGCGGGAACCGAAGCCCGCAGCUACCGGCUCGAAGGCGCCGGCCUCGGCGAGCGCUGCUCAGCUUCAAGCCUGGAGGAGCCUCCCACUCACCAACGAACCCCUCAAACACCUAGGCACAGGCGGGCCUCCGGGCAGAGCAGCCGCCGACCGGGCGCUGUCCGCCCACCCAAGCCAACAACUGGCUCCCGAAUACAUCAUAAUUUGGAAUAAAAUGUGAAAUCCCGCUCCCCGCCCCCAUGCCGCCGCCCCCACCAGCGCCUCGAUCUCUCGCUCGCCCUCCCCCCACUCCCGCCCCCAGCGAUUUGCAAACGCACCUCUAAAGGACACAGGCACACAGGCAUACAACUCAGUGCGGACAGGACCACACAGGGUCCAGCCCCACAGAAGGGCAGCAAACAAACACCACCUAGCACUGCCCCAGAAGCCGACUUGGUCAGCCCCGCACACUGCCCAACAGGACACAACGAAAUCAGUCAAACGCAGCGGCUCACGGACACACAAUCCAGCACAGUCGGGAUCACACACGCCCGACAUAACGACGACACCACCCAAACACAGUCGCAGGGGCCACACACCCCCACACACAGAAUCAGAUCCCUGCUGAGAACACCAACGGAGCACAAUCGUACGCAACGAAGAAAACGCAGAAGGGCCUCGAAGGGUCCACAUCUACACACCCCAACCGCGCAGGCACACCACACUCGGACACAGAGCCUGUCGCCAAGAAGACCACACUUAGAAGCAGCCAACGCCGCCCACAGUUCUCAUGAACGCACUCUCACAAUCCCACCGCAUGCACACAACCACGAAGAAGAAAUGAAAACCAACCACAGCCUCGCGCAUUUCUGUAUAUUGCGUAAGGAAAAGGGGGAAGGAAGGAAGAGAGUCUCCGAGGCGGGAGGGGCGGC